UACGGAGGGCGCGAGCGUUAAUCGGAAUUACUGGGCGUAAAGCGCGCGUAGGCUGUUGUGUAAGUUGGGGGUGAAAUCCCACGGCUCAACCGUGGAACAGCCCUUGAUACUGCGCGACUUGAAUCCGGGAGAGGGUGGCGGAAUUCCAGGUGUAGGAGUGAAAUCCGUAGAUAUCUGGAGGAACAUCAGUGGCGAAGGCGGCCACCUGGACCGGUAUUGACGCUGUGGCGCGAAAGCGUGGGGAGCAAACAGG
rnacentral:rRNA from 1 species